UACGUAGGGUGCAAGCGUUGUCCGGAAUUAUUGGGCGUAAAGAGCUCGUAGGCGGUCUGUUACGUCGGCUGUGAAAACCUGGGGCUCAACUCCGGGCCUGCAGCCGAUACGGGCAGACUAGAGUUCGGCAGGGGAGACUGGAAUUCCUGGUGUAGCGGUGAAAUGCGCAGAUAUCAGGAGGAACACCAAUGGCGAAGGCAGCUCGCUGGGACGGUACUGACGCUGAGGCGCGAAAGCGUGGGGAGCAAACAGG
rnacentral:rRNA from 1 species